CUGGACGGCGCUAAUGCGUU
rnacentral:miRNA from 1 species